AUGCUCCUGGCGUUCCCCGCCCCGCAGCUCGCUUCAGCCACCCCCGCCAUCUUGGAUCAGGGUAAUCGCCCGCUCUUUUGCACUCCCGGUAAUAACCUCAGGGGCCAUCUUGGGUUAGGUCAGUGCAGCCUUUGGCCUCCCUUGCGCACUCUGGAAUUUACUGCCUUUUAGCUGCUUGGUGGUCCAGGGUUAUUGUCUCCCGUAAUUUCCCACCUUAAGUUAGAUUAAGAAAAUGAUGUUUUCAUUCCCCUUUCUUGCCUCUUGGCGAUAGCCGUAUGUUCACCCCUCUGCUUGCGGUUUGAGUAACCUGCCAUUAUGGGUCAGGGCUAUUGAGGCUGAUUUGACUUCCCAUCAUUCCCAGAAGCUGGCGAGGGGACCGAUCCUUCUUCACCUUGUGGCCAGGUUGAAGAUAGAGGCUCCGCAGGUUUAUUCCCUGGCUUUUUAAAGCUACUUGUGCGGUGCGUAAGGUCAAUGAGAAGUAUGGUCUCUUUCCCAUCCAAUUAAAGUCGCCCGUGUGGCCUAGGAUCCAGUAUCAUCCAUGAAGGCCUCGAGGGUCCCCCAGUGCGCCUUCCAACCUGAAGCUGCGUGGGCUCGCCCGUAGCCAGAAGUAUAAUCAGCUCCUUGAGGGUAGAGGAUGUUUCUGACACGUCUCAGCAUCUCCAGGUGCCAGAAGAAUAGGGUUCACCAUAAAGAUAAGACUAUGCUGUGGAAUCAUAGGUUCGUCUGGUCCAGCAUUUAAUAGUACGUCUUGAUUCUUUCUAGAAUAUCUACAAUAUAGUUUGAACACUCAAGACACGGGGCCCCCUCCGUUUAAUAUCUGAUAACAGACUUCCUAUGAAGCAGGAGCGAUGGUCUCCUGAGAACCAAGGCUUCCAUAUCAAGACGUGGAAAGAUAGUGCUCGGCUGCCAAUAACAAAUUGGCAGUUACAAAUGCCAACCAAAUGCUGCUGGCUGCCGAAAAUCUUCCUGGAGCUCCUUACCUUCAGAUUCUAAUUUUUCUGCAUUCAGCGGGCUGGUUGGUGACCCUGUUGAGGAUUUCCUGCCACUGAGCCCUGAGAUCAUUGCCAUAGAGGACAGUCUUCCAAUGGCUCUCACAGCAUUGCCCGUUUUCUGGAAAAUAGAUACUGGCGUUGGACUCAGGCAGUGUCCCUGGUUCCAGCUGGGCAGCGGGGCUCGGAGAGAAGAGCCCAGCCCAGGAGAAGCAGCUGUCCCUGAAACGAGGGCCUCCCGAGUGCCGGGGCUCUGCCAGCAGAGUGAGCCCAACCUUGCUCUGCUCAGCACUAUCAGUGUGUCAGAAGAUGUUCGGAGAAUGGAAUGGGGCCUGGAACCGAUGUGUGCGUUAAUGUGACUAAACAAGGUCAACAUGAGACAAAAACCCUUUUCAUACUGUGCUUCAACUCCCAUAAAAGGGAUAGUUUAUAUAAAGCAACUGCAGGCUGAGACAGCUCCAAAGACUUAUUGCUGACGGGACCCAGUGGGGCGGUUUCUCGUAAAACAAUGCUAGUGAUAGAAUUUUAAUUGGCCAAGAGAAUAGUUACUAUGGAUCCCACAGGUCCUCUUGCAAAGAGAAAAAAAAAAAAAAAAAAAAAAAGACAUACUAUUGACCACGGUCAAGUUGCUUAACCUCUCUGGGCUUCAGUUUCCUUCUCUGUAUGAGGAAGGGGGUGGGCAAGAUGAUCUCCAAAGCCUCAUUUAGUUCCGUUUAUGACUCAGAUACUUAAGAGAUUUCGAGAGAGUUCCUGUUGUGGCUCAGCAGUAACAAACCUGACUAGUAUCCAUGAGGAUGCCAGUUCGAUCCCUAGCCUCGCUCAGGGGGUUAAGGAUCCGGCGUUGCUGGGAGCUGUGGCGUAGGUCGCAGAUGCGGCUCAGAUCUGGUGUUGCUGUGACUGUGGCAUAGGCCGGCAGCUACAGCUCCGAUUGGACCCCUAGCCUGGGAACCUCCAUAUGCUGUGGGUGCGGCCCUAAAAAAGAUAAAAAGAUUUUGAGAAACACUCUGGCUGGCCUCAGCACAAGUCUACAGUGAAGUUCUGGAAGGGUGUUUUUCCCUGAUGUACACCCAGGCAUCAAAAAGAAGCACCCCAGGAAAUGAAAAGGGCAGCAAUUUGCUUUUCUGAGUCAAGAUGCCUUGGGAGAGGACAGAAUUUCUACUGAAGAAAAUGCAAGGACUUGAGACGAAAGAUUUUGUGUUGUGAAAAUUCUACCAAGCACAGGAUUUAGGUCAAGAAAUCCCCAGCAACACACAAUUGUGUCUGUGUUUCUCACCUUCAAGUAAAGAUUCUCACCCCUUUUCUAAGGUCAGUGGGAUGACCGAAAAAUGAAGGCGUAACCAACACUUUCCAGUCCCGCACCCAAAGCACUGUGUCAGGCAUCUAGAUGCUGUGCAUCCAGCGGGCAGAUGUUGCCACAGACUGGCUGCUACAGAGAAAGGAAACAGCCUGUACACAGGCAAACGGCUGGCCCUCACCCUGGACCUAUCCGUGCCGGCGGAGCCCCUGUCCUCCCAGGAACCGGUUAGUUCUCUAAACACUGAUGACUCUGUGACUUUGUGCAAGUCAGUUGCCUUCUCUGGGCCUCAUGUUGGACCAGAAGAUUGGAAUCUUCCUGCAGGUCUGGUCUUCUGCAGAAAGACUGCGAUUCAGACACGAGCAUGUGUAGCAGGGAACACCCCUGGAGCCCAUGCACUCCCUAAUCCAAACACCCGGAUUGUGACUGAGCUGAACUGCCUUCAUUUAUAUGGAGUGAAAUAAUGAAGCCUUUCCUCUUCUGUUAACAAAAUGACUAAUGAAACUACCAGAACAAGGCAAGUCAAAGUGUUAGAAUAUUUCAGAGGAGGUAGCAAACACACAUUAACAAACAGACCGCAUGUGAGGGGAAGUCUUCCAUCAGAUGGAGCAAUAGAACGUAUAAUUUCUAAAACAAGGAGAAAUGUAAGCGCUUAGUAAGGAACAUCUUAAAAAUAACUGACAUCAGAAGUCAAUCUUUGGAAACUUAAGAAAAAAAAUUAGCAAGGAAGUUAUUUGUCAGAACUGGAAAAAGAAAUCUAUCUAUGUUCUAGCCUUCCAGUUUCAUGCCUUUGAAUGGAAAAUUAGUUGCUGCUUUACUCAUCAAGACUUUUGGAAAUUUUUAAAACAUCAAAAAAGAAAGUUCAGUUAUUGGUAACUUCCAUUCUUGUUUUCAGGAAGCCUUUUUCUUAUUUGAGGGCAGUUGCCAAGGCUGGGUUCCUUGUUCCAGGCAGGCAGGGUCUGUGACGGCUUCCCUGACACGACACGGACUCUCCCUUGGGAGAGCUGGCGAGGGUGACUAACCAGCUCGGUUCGCCCAGGAAUGAGGGAAUUCCCAAGAUGAGGGUCUUUUAGGGGUAAAGCUGAGACAGAUCCUGGAAAACCUGGGCAGGGUGAUCAUCCUCGAGCCAGCCAGCCUUCAUGGGCCUAUAUGCACACCAAGAGCCCAAGACUGCAGUUUCCCCUGAGAAUGCAUGUUUUCUAAACGUGAUGGCCAAGAAUACUUUGUGCUAUACUGAGUCAAAAGCUUUCUUUCCCCAAGACUCUUUGGUCCACACUGCUGAAGUCUUUGCGGUUCUCAGAAAAUAAAGAUAGCUACCCACAGGCCUUCAA